GAUGAACGCUGGCGGCGUGCCUAAUACAUGCAAGUAGAACGCUGAAGGAGGAGCUUGCUCUUCUGGAUGAGUUGCGAACGGGUGAGUAACGCGUAGGUAACCUGCCUGGUAGCGGGGGAUAACUAUUGGAAACGAUAGCUAAUACCGCAUGACAACAGUUAUUGCAUGAUAACUGUUUAAAAGGGGCAACUGCUCCACUACCAGAUGGACCUGCGUUGUAUUAGCUAGUUGGUGAGGUAACGGCUCACCAAGGCGACGAUACAUAGCCGACCUGGGAGGGGGACCGGCCCCCCUGGGACUGAGCACGGCCCCAGCCCCCUCCGGGGGGACCCAGAGGGGACUUUUGGGCAAUGGACGGAAGCCUACCCGGGCACCGCCGCGGGAGUGAAAAGGGUUUUGGGAUCUUAAAGCUUUGUUUUAAGGGAAAAACGGGUGGGAGGGGGGAAAGUUCCCCCUGGGACGGUUCUUUACCAGAAAGGGGCGGUUACCUCCGU
rnacentral:rRNA from 1 species